ACUUAUUCAUUGAACGCUGUUUGAUGGAAGCAGGGACUUAUAGUAAGAUCAUUAAUGGGAAUUACAGCUUUCGGGUUGAAAUCCCAUCUCGAGGAGGAGUUUUAGUCGGUAGGCGCUACGGCUAUUCCGACAAUACCCCCCUUCAGGGGGUGUCUUUUGAAGAUUUCCCCUCCUCGAGGCUA
rfam:Agrilus planipennis Contig4191, whole genome shotgun sequence.